rnacentral:rRNA from 1 species
UACGGAGGGUGCGAGCGUUGUCCGGAAUUAUUGGGCGUAAAGAGCUCGUAGGCGGUUUGUCGCGUCGAAUGUGAAAACCCCGGGGCUCAACCCCGGGCCUGCAUUCGAUACGGGCAGACUAGAGUUCGGUAGGGGAGUCUGGAAUUCCUGGUGUAGCGGUGAAAUGCGCAGAUAUCAGGAGGAACACCGGUGGCGAAGGCGGGACUCUGGGCCGAUACUGACGCUGAGGAGCGAAAGCGUGGGGAGCAAACAGG